CGGCGCUGUUUCGUCGUUACCAUUUAUUUCAUGUAGAAAAACUUUCUCAAUAGAUCGAAAUGUGAGAAUCUUCAUUUGAAAGUGCGCGCGCCUUAACAAGCGUCAGAUUGAUUGACAUCUAUUGACAUCGAAACAAAAGCCUCACGUGUGCAUCACGUUGAAAUCAUUAUCUUUCAUCUGCAUAACAAAAGCUCACGUGAACGGAUAUGAAGUCCAUUCUAAGUGAUACUCGUGUCUUCGCCGUUACUGUAACCGACGCUCGAAACUGAGCAAGGCAAAUUCACUUUUGGUAUAAAAGCAAAGCGAGAAUUUGGCUAUUAUUUUAUAGCAACUAAUUAGAAAAACAAGACAGCAAAAGGAAGAGUAGCAACAAGUGAAAGACGUUUUGAAAGAGCAGGUAAACACGGGAACAGACAGUCGCGUGAAGAUGAGAACGGCAAUUGUACCGAAGGGCGCAGAGGCCGUUAGAAAUGCCAAACGAUCCAGAAUGCCAGAAACUCUAUAAUUUGUCAACGGCGAUGGAGCAGAUUGAAUGGGAGCCAAAGCGCAAGGAAAAGUGAGUGAAAGUGAUGACUAUGGAUAUGGAGGAUGAAAAGAGGUGGGUGUUUUUGAUGGUGAAGCCCCUGGGAAAGAAAAGAGCUGAGGAGAGGAAAACAAGAGUUGGACAGGAGGCAUGUGACGGGCCCAACAGAAGUCUAUGCACAGAGUAAGAAGCUUUAAGUUUUCAAGCCGCCCUUGUCCCUCAUGCUCAGUCAGGUGGGAAGUCCUGAGGAAAAAGGAGACAUCCCUACCUCCCCAGUCACCCCUUCCUUGGCAGCGCCUGCCACCAUUGACAAAACUCCCAGUACAGCACGUAGGUCAUUAUGAGCGCUAACUUAGUUGAGACUUUUUACAGUAUUAGUACAGUAAUUGUUAAUUUUUACAGUUGGUCUUAUCAGAUUGAUCGAUAAAUUAUAUAUUUAUAGUGUAUUUUAAUUCCCAUAUUGUUUCAGUUGCUUUUAGCAGAUUGAUUGCAAUAUAUAUUUAUAGAAAAAGUAGAAAAAAGCUGAAGUUUUCAAUUUUGAAAAGCCAAAAAAUAUGAACUUGUUACUGAGCUUAUUUAUUUAUUUAUCUAUUUAUCUAUUUAUUUAUUAAUUAAUUUAAAUAUUAUGUUAGGUCUAACAGCCAACACAGGUUUAAAACUUUUUGUCAUUGUUAAUUUCAUUUAUAGAACUUAUAUAACACAGAACACCAAAUAUAUUGUAAAUAUGUUAUAGUUGCUACAGAGAAACUUAUUUUUAUAAGAACAUUGAUGGUUGUAGUUCUAUAAAAUAGUGUUUAUUUCAAUAAAAUUCUUUAUAUGCAA